GGCGCCUUCGUCUAUCGGUUAGGACGCAAGAUUCUCAUUCUUGAAAGACGGGUUCGAUUCCCGUAGGCGCUGCCA
rnacentral:tRNA from 2 species